UACGGUGUUCCCCGCCGUGGUGUUCGGGAAGACCGGUGACGGACCAUCAACAGGUCCCAGUCCGGAGCGGCCCUCGCCACUGUGAUCGGGGGAGAGUUGUCCGGACCCACGUGCCACUGGGCGCCUAGUGCGCCUGGGAAGGCGGGUCCGGAAGCCCCGUAAGCCAGGAGACCGGCCACGGCAUCUCACGAAGU
rnacentral:ncRNA from 2 species